rnacentral:lncRNA from 1 species
GGGGCGGGACGCGAGGGCGCGGGGCGGGCCGGGAGUGCACCUGAGGCCCGGGCGGGGCCUGUCCUGGGGACCUGGCGAGGCCCGGCCUCUGCCAGCCAAGCCUGCUGGGGACGACCGAGGUAGCCCGGGCUCGGCUUAGGAAGGCAGCGGGACUCGAGGCCUUGGGGUCCGAGUCCGAACUCGCUCCUCUAGCGCCGGGCGGGGAGCGAGUGGGAGAGCGGCCGCGAAGCUCCAGUGUUGAAAACGCACCCCUCCCAGCUUUUUGCAAGGCCUACUUGGGGGCGGAGAGACAAGCAAGCUGUCAUGUUAUAAGCAGCCCUUUGAGGGGUCCAUGUGAUGUCAAGGAAUGAAGUCUCUAGCCAACAUUUAAUGAGGAACUGAGGCCCACCAACAACCUUGAGUGAGCUUGGAAGUAGCUCCUUCAGCAUCAGUUGGGUGUCGAGAUGACUACUGACAGCUUGACUGCAACUUCAUGAGAGUCUUCUGGACCAGAACCACUCAGUUAAGUGGCUCCCAGAUUCCUGAUCCUCAGAAACUCUGAGAAAUAAUGAAUGUUGGUUGUUUUAAAAUGGUAAAUUUUGAGGUAUUAUGUUAUGUGGCAAUAGAUAGCUAAUAUAUAAAUUAUUUGAAUCAAACAAUACGUUAAAUUAAAGCUCAGAAGAAUAAACAUCUGUAAUUCCUUAAUUUGUUUUCCCUUCUAUUCUACAGAAUAGAAUUUUACAGAUGAACCUUGUAGUUACUUGUGCAAUAAGAGACAGUAUGUUGUAUUGAUUAAGUGCAGAGCCUCUGGAUGUAUGAUAGAAGAAAGACCAAUAUUCAAUUGCUUUCUUCUUCAAUUCCAAGCUUGUGAGCUUGAGCAAAUUUUAAAAGUGUUUUAAGCCUCAGUUUCCUGGGAUGGUAGUGCUUAGCUCGAGCUCCUAGCAUAUAUUAACUACAAACUAAAUAUUAGCUAUAAUUAUUAGUUUUACUUUGAUUAUUGACUCUAAAUAAAUACCUUAAGAACUUUGUGUUCUCCACAGAUUUGGAUAUGUCUGGACGUUAUGUAGGCUGGAGUAGUCAGCAAUUACUUGCCUGAGGAAGGGAAGGCCUCCUCCUUUAAGAAAAGAAUAGGCUGGGUGCGGUGGCUCAUACUUGUAAUCCCAGCAUUUUGGGAGGCUGAGGAGGGUGGAUCACCUGAGGUCAGGAGUUUGAGACCAGCCUAAGGAACAUGGUGAAACCCUGUCUCUACUAAAAAUACAAAAAUUAGCCAAUUGUGGCACGCGCCUGUAGUCCCGGCUACUCAGGAGGCUGAGGUGAGAGGAUUGCCUGAGCCUGGGAGGUGGAGGUUGCAGUGAGCCGAGAUCGCGCCACUGCACUCCAGCCUGGGCAACAGAGUAAGACUCCGUCUCAAAAAAAAAAAAAAGAAAGAAAGAAAAGAGUAGAAGGCCCAAGCUUAGUCCAAUAUUAUAGCUUCAGCAUCAGAGUAGAGAAUGAUUCAGAGCAUCUGUCCAGUGUCUGCUGUAGAUCCCUCAAAUCCGUGUUUGGACGCUUCUGGUAAGGGGUGUAUGGCAGAUGCACCCGACAGAUGCACUUGGCAGCAAUAACUUAUGCAUACCUGAAGAAUGACCCUAUGGUCUAAGAAGAAUGUGUGUUCAGAGCUCCAAGCUAAGGAAUCUGGGAGUGGCCAACCCAGAUAUUUCAUUUCUUAUCUAUGACGAACUUCUGAACUGCUCCCACCCCCAGCCCAUCCUGUAGAAUGCAGGCCCUACGAGGCGAUCAAAGCCCUUUGUUUUAGGUUAAAUGAAGGUUGCCUGGUGGAGGUUGCUAGGGGAAAGGUGUUAAGUAAAAAUGUUAUAUAAACUGCAUGGUGUUUUUUGUUUGUUUUUGUUUUUUUGAGACAGAGUUUUUGCUCUUGUUGCCCAGGCUGGAGUGCAAUGGUGCAAUCUCGGCUCACUGCAACCUCCGCCUCCUGGGUUCAAGUGAUUCUGCUGUCUCAGCCUCCCAAGUAGCUGGGAUUACAGGUGCCCACCACCAGGCCCGGCUAAUUUUUUGUAUUUAGUAGAGUCAGGGUUUCCCCAUGUUGGUCAGCCUGGUCUCAAACUCCUGACUUCAGGUGAUCCACCUGCCUCAGCCUCCCAAAGCGCUGGGAUUACAGGUAUGAGCCACCACGCCUGGCCAAUUGCAUGCUUUUUACAAGGAGUUUUGGUUCUCCUGCCCAGCCCACUGCCACUGGACUGCCCUGUAUUGUAAGUCCCCUCAAUAAACCUUAUGUCUCAGUUUCUGGUUCUAGGUCUCUUCUUCAGCCUCUUGAACAUGGUGCCAUCCCUACUGAAGUCAAUGGGGUCUGACAUGACUAGGGGAACUUGAACAAAAUCUGAAAUAGCUGUUUUUUUCUUGCCAAAAUCACUGUAAGACAUUAUUUGCCUCAGCCCCAGAACAUUGAAUUAUAUGACCCAAGAGUGGAGAAA